AGCUCCAAUAGCGUAUAUUAAAGUUGUUGCGGUUAAAAAGCUCGUAGUUGGAUCUCGGCGAACAGGGGGCGGUUCGUUAUUUGACGGUACUGCCCCAUUUGUUCGUAUUUUUGCAAGAGGGUUGGGGGUCCCCUUUGUUGGGUGUCUCCGGUCGCUUGCAGGUUUACUUUGAAAAAAUUAGAGUGCUCAAAGCAGGCUUACACGCUUGAAUAUUCGUGCAUGGAAUAAUAGAAUAGGAAGUCGUUUCUAUUUUGUUGGUUUUCGGAAAAUGACUUAAUGAUUAAUAGGGACAAUCGGGGGCAUUAGUAUUCAAACGACAGAGGUGAAAUUCUUGGACCGUUUGAAGACUAACUACUGCGAAAGCAUUUGCCAAGAGUGUUU
rnacentral:rRNA from 1 species